AGCCAUAUACUUUAAAGGUAGAAUGAUUUCUUGAUAAGGAAUCUGUAGAAGUUCGAUUCUUCUUGGGCUA
rfam:Trametes pubescens strain FBCC735 TRAPTBscaffold_1672, whole genome shotgun sequence.